CAAUGGGCGAAAGCCUGAUGCAGCAACGCCGCUUGAAGGAUGACGGCCUUCGGGUUGUAAACCUUUUUUAGCAGGGAAGAAGCGAGAGUGACGGUACCUGCAGAAAAAGCACCGGCUAAUUACGUGCCAGCAGCCGCGGUAAUACGUAGGGUGCAAGCGUUAUCCGGAAUUAUUGGGCGUAAAGAGCUCGUAGGCGGUUUGUCGCGUCUGCUGUGAAAUUCCGAGGCUCAACCUCGGGCUUGCAGUGGGUACGGGCAGACUAGAGUGCGGUAGGGGAGAUUGGAAUUCCUGGUGUAGCGGUGGAAUGCGCAGAUAUCAGGAGGAACACCGAUGGCGAAGGCAGAUCUCUGGGCCGUAACUGACGCUGAGGAGCGAAAGGGUGGGGAGCAAACAGGCUUAGAUACCCUGGUAGUCCACCCCGUAAACGUUGGGAACUAGUUGUGGGGUCCUUUCCACGGAUUCCGUGACGCAGCUAACGCAUUAAGUUCCCCGCCUGGGGAGUACGGCCGCAAGGCUAAAACUCAAAGGAAUUGACGGGGACCCGCACAAGCGGCGGAGCAUGCGGAUUAAUUCGAUGCAACGCGAAGAACCUUACCAAGGCUUGACAUACACGAGAACGGGCCAGAAAUGGUCAACUCUUUGGACACUCGUGAACAGGUGGUGCAUGGUUGUCGUCAGCUCGUGUCGUGAGAUGUUGGGUUAAGUCCCGCAACGAGCGCAACCCUCGUUCUAUGUUGCCAGCACGUAAUGGUGGGAACUCAUGGGAUACUGCCGGGGUCAACUCGGAGGAAGGUGGGGAUGACGUCAAAUCAUCAUGCCCCUUAUGUCUUGGGCUUCACGCAUGCUACAAUGGCCGGUACAAUGGGCUGCGAUACCGCGAGGUGGAGCGAAUCCCAAAAAGCCGGUCCCAGUUCGGAUUGAGGUCUGCAACUCGACCUCAUGAAGUCGGAGUCGCUAGUAAUCGCAGAUCAGCAACGCUGCGGUGAAUACGUUCCCGGGUCUUGUACACACCGCCCGUCAAGUCAUGAAAGUCGGUAACACCUGAAGCCGGUGGCCUAACCCUUG
rnacentral:rRNA from 1 species